CGAACGGGUGAGUAAUACAUCGGAACGUGCCCAGUCGUGGGGGAUAACUACUCGAAAGAGUAGCUAAUACCGCAUACGAUCUGAGGAUGAAAGCGGGGGACCUUCGGGCCUCGCGCGAUUGGAGCGGCCGAUGGCAGAUUAGGUAGUUGGUGGGAUAAAAGCUUACCAAGCCGACGAUCUGUAGCUGGUCUGAGAGGACGACCAGCCACACUGGGACUGAGACACGGCCCAGACUCCUACGGGAGGCAGCAGGC
rnacentral:rRNA from 1 species